UACGGAGGGGGCUAGCGUUGCUCGGAAUCACUGGGCGUAAAGGGUGCGUAGGCGGGUCUUUAAGUCAGGGGUGAAAUCCUGGAGCUCAACUCCAGAACUGCCUUUGAUACUGAGGAUCUUGAGUUCGGGAGAGGUGAGUGGAACUGCGAGUGUAGAGGUGAAAUUCGUAGAUAUUCGCAAGAACACCAGUGGCGAAGGGCGGCUCACUGGCCCGAUACUGACGCUGAGGCACGAAAGCGUGGGGAGCAAACAGG
rnacentral:rRNA from 1 species